CAGCUUUCGACGGUAAGGUAUUGGCUUACCGUGGCAGUGACGGUUAACGGGGAAUUAGGGUUCAAUUCCGGAGAGGGAGCCUGAGAAACGGCUACCACAUCUAAGGAAGGCAGCAGGCGCGCAAAUUACCCAAUUCUAACAGCAUAAGAGAGGUAGUGACAAGAAAUAACAGUACAAGGCAGUUAAAAUGCUUUGUAAUUGGAAUGAUAGAAAUUUAAAUACUUUUUAAAGUAUCAAUUGGAGGGCAAGUCUGGUGCCAGCAGCCGCGGUAAUUCCAGCUCCAAUAGCGUAUAUUAAAAUUGUUGCAGUUAAAAAGCUCGUAGUUGAAUUUUUGCUAAAAAUAACCGGUCUGCUUUUAUUAAUAAAAGUGGUAUCUUGGUGUGUUUUUAGCAAUAAUGUCCUUUGAAAUGUUUUUUACUUUAAUGUAAAAAACAAUUUUCAGGAUUUUUACUUUGAGAAAAUUAGAGUGUUUCAAGCAGGCUAACGUUUUGAAUACUGCAGCAUGGAAUAAUAAAAUAGGAUUUUAGUUCUACGUUAUUGGUUUUAAGAACUAAAUUAAUGAUUGAUAGGAGCAGUUGGGGGCAUUUGUAUUUAACUGUCAGAGGU
rnacentral:rRNA from 1 species